GCCAGCUGUCAUCAGUUCUUUUUGGCUCAUCAGCUCAAAGGAAUGCCAAGGAGGUAGGGUGUUGGGGACAGGCCCAGGCCCAACACAGCCACCAGCCGCAAGCAAGUGACCUGCUCUCAGGACAGUUCUCCUUCCUGGGCCUUAGUUUCCAUCUCCGGUAGAGGACUUUGUAAGGACUCCUUCUGUCCAGAACAUUGUGACUCUGAGAGGAAGCAGAAUUGCCAUUUUUCUUGGAGGCUGACCCAGGAAGGGGACCAUCUCCAAAGAAGUGGCCUUAUUCUCCUGGCCAAUGAUCAGCCUGAAUGCUGGUGUCCUCCCCAAAUCCAUAUGUUGAACUUAACCCCCAACAUGACAGUAUUAACACACGUGGCCUUGGGAGGUGAGUAGGUCGUGAGGGCUCCAUCCUCACGAAUGGGGUUCACGGCCUUAUAAAGAGGCCUGAGGGGGCUUGUUUGCUCCUUCAACCAUAUGAGGACACACAGAAGGUGCCACCUAUGAGGAACAGGCCCUCACCAGACACCAACUCUGCUGGCACUUUGAUCUUGGACUUCCUAGCACUAACUUGUUGAACUAGCAGGGAUGUUGCUGAACAGGAGCACCUUACCAUCCACCUUGAUACCUCUGGGAUCAAUGCGGAGUUUAAGAGAUGCGCCACCCGUGCAUCGCGCCCUCAGAAGGAGCCAUUCUCAGACAUCGCUCGCUGUGCCAGCCUGCCCAAGGUGCUUUUGCAGCUGUGGAUCACUGGGGAGGACUGCUCCUUCCUCCUUGUGGCAUCGCCUUCCCUGGGCAGGGAGCUCUGGCAAGACAGCCCCCCUGGCCUCUGUGUGCCCACAGUCCUGCCUUCCCAGGGGAGGAGGCUGUCCCAGCCACCCUCCCUUUGUCUUUGUUCACCAGCUCUGUCUGUGCUCACGGGCUGACUACAGGGGUUACAUGCACAGAUGCUCUGUCCUCUGGUUUCUGAUCGGGCAAGAUAUUUGUGUCUGUUGGGGGCAGGGAUAUGAAUCUCCCGACUCCCUCCCUGCAGGUGGCAGCGGGCUGGCUGCAGCACAUCCCUCCACUGAGGCGACACCUCCCGAGCAGACUGCUCUCUCCACCCACCCUCUGUCUUUUCAGAUUCUAGUAACUGCCCACUCUGUCUCGGUGUCACCUCAAGGAUAUUGCACUUCCCUUUGUGGAUUCCCCAUGGCGUGCCCACGCUUUUGUAAAGAAUCCCUUUAUUAAGCUUUGUUCAAAUUACACAGUUUGAGUAUGUCAUCUAUUCCUGCCAGACCCUCACUGACAAGAGGGUUGACUCACUUUGAUUGGUGAGAUCAGGAGGAGGAAUAUGGUCUGGCUGUUCUGAUCCCUUCUGCUCUCUUUCUUCUUGGACACUGGUCUCUCUUCAUUUUGUGCAAUAGAUGCCCCCUGCCUCCUUCUCCAGUGUGGCUUGUGACUGGGUUCCAGUUCUGUCUCAUUCUGGGCUCCGAUAUUAGGCAGCCCUAAACAGAAAUGUAUUCAUCCAUAUUAGUGUU